rnacentral:rRNA from 1 species
UACGAAGGGGGCUAGCGUUGCUCGGAAUCACUGGGCGUAAAGCGCACGUAGGCGGCUUUCUAAGUCAGGGGUGAAAUCCUGGAGCUCAACUCCAGAACUGCCUUUGAUACUGGAGAGCUUGAGUCCGGAAGAGGUGAGUGGAACUCCGAGUGUAGAGGUGAAAUUCGUAGAUAUUCGGAAGAACACCAAUGGCGAAGGCGGCUCACUGGUCCGGUACUGACGCUGAGGUGCGAAAGCGUGGGGAGCAAACAGG